rnacentral:misc_RNA from 1 species
AAAAAAAAAAAAUAAAAAAAUUAAGAACUAAUUAUAAUACUAUACGUUGUUUCACAAUCCUUGGGCAACCAUCAGCAUUUAGCAAGUCAAUUGACCAAGGGCAUUCAUUAUAAUAGAUUAUGCUUUUGCUUUUUCAAUGACAAAAGGCCCUUUAUUAUAUUAUUAAUUUCUCAAUAUUUUUUUCAAAUGGGUUGAAAAUUGUAAUAGGG